rnacentral:rRNA from 1 species
AACGAACGCUGGCGGCAGGCCUAACACAUGCAAGUCGAACGAGAAGCCACCUUCGGGUGGUGGACAGUGGCAGACGGGUGAGUAACGCGUGGGAACGUGCCUUUCGGUUCGGAAAAACCCAGGGAAACUUGGGCUAAUACCGGAUACGCCCUUCGGGGGAAAGAUUCAUUGCCGAAAGAUCGGCCCGCGUCGGAUUAGCUAGUUGGUGGGGUAAUGGCCCACCAAGGGGACGAUCCGUAGCUGGUCUGAGAGGAUGAACAGCCACACUGGGACUGGGACACGGCCCAGACUCCUACGGGAGGCAGCAGUGGGGAAUAUUGGACAAUGGGCGAAAGCCUGAUCCAGCCAUGCCGCGUGGGUGAAGAAGGUCUUCGGAUUGUAAAGCUCUUUUGGCGGGGAAGAUAAUGACGGUACCUGCAGAAUAAGCCCCGGCUAACUUCGUGCCAGCCGCCGCGGUAAUAC